AUGUUUCUAACAACCACACACAACCUUAAUUCGUUUCCUUCUUUCUCCUCUCCAUCUCGUUCACCUCUACUCCUAUCUCUAAUUUCUCAGAUCAAAAUCCGUAACAAACAACAAAAAUCUCCACAACAAACUACAUCGAAUCUCUCACCUGAAGACUAUACUCUACAAGAAGGUGCAAUAGAAAAUGAAGAAAUGGUGGAGAAGACGAGAUAG